AUUGAACGCUGGCGGCAGGCCUAACACAUGCAAGUCGAGCGAGCGGCGGACGGGUGAGUAAUGUAUGGGGACUGCCCGAUAGAGGGGGAUAACUACUGGAAACGGUGGCUAAUACCGCAUACUAUUGGAUAACCCAUAUGGGAUUAGCUAGUAGGUGGGGUAAAGGCUCACCUAGGCGACGAUCUCUAGCUGGUCUGAGAGGAUGAUCAGCCACACUGGGACUGAGACACGGCCCAGAGUCCUACGGAGGCAGCAGUGGGGAAUGUGGCACAAUGGUGGCAAGCCGGAUUCAGCCAUGCCGCGUGUAUGAAGAAGGGCUUAGGGUUGUAAAGUACUUUCAGCGGAGAGGCGUUACCCGCAGAAUAAGCACCGGCUAACUCCGUGCCAGCAGCCGCGGUAAUAC
rnacentral:rRNA from 1 species